UCAUCAAAGUUACCUUUCUAUUUUUAUUUCAUUUUUUAAACUGGAGGUAUCGAACAGAGCUAGGUAUAAGCAGGCUUUUGACCUUUUAGUGCCAGGAAUUUGAGGAGCUAGCUUAUGUUGUGUUGAAUGCAACAUUGAAGAACCGGUUAGACCCUCUUUUAGUGUUGCCUCCUUUUUUAAUCGCACCAGUCCUGUUAAGUAAGUAACCACUAGAAGAUUAAUGCUUGACUAUUUCUCUAAGUUAAUUCACCACAAUCUUGGAAAUUUUGUCCCAACUUUAAAUGGGUAUUUCCUAUCUUAGAGUUCAAAUUCUUUACCACAAUCUUGGAAAUUUUGUCCCAACUUUAAAUGGGUAUUCCCUAUCUUAGAGUUCAAAUUCUUUGAGCAUAAUUAGAUAUCUUACUGCUAUCUUCUUUGUUUGUAUAUACAGCUGUCUGUACUUCUUUGAUACUUUGGGCGCUAACAAUGAAGAACUUUAGAAUGAGUGACGAACAGCUUCAGCGCAAGCUGUUGAUGGAUUUAUGGCAUAACUCCUCGAAACUGUCCUUUCAUCAGAAGGAGCUUUGUAAAAGCUAAAUAUCAUGGUAAAUACUAGUUAUGGUGGAUAAGUACCUUCAUGUUUAUGUUUUCAAUAUAUUUUUUCUUAUUUGAGAUGUUACAAAUUGUAGAUUGUUUACCUUUGAGAUCUCAGGAUCCUGCUUACUAUUCGUUUCUUCUCAGGGAGGCUUUCCUGAUGAUUUCUUUACACACUUAAUGUCUAGUGCUGUGCCCUUUCUGAGAAUGACUCAAAGUAGAGAUAUGUGGCGCUCAUGGUAUGCUUUACUGCUGAACUCCAACUCCCUGUUUGCAUCUAUUGAAGAUGUUUUUCUGUUAUAACAAUUUUAAACCGCUAGACAUGUAGAGCUCAUGGUACAUCACCGAAAACCCCGUCUUCCUAUUAUAACAAUAUUAAACUAUAAAACUGCAUAUAAAAAAAAUAUUCAACUAAAAGAUCUGCUUUAUGAUCUCAAAUCUUGACUUUUGUUUGUAGAGUUAGUGAACAACAACAACCCAGUAUAAUCUCACUUAGUGGGGUCUGGGGAGGGUAGUAUGUACGCAGACNNNNNNNNNNNNNNNNNNNNNNNNNNNNNNNNNNNNNNNNNNNNNNNNNNNNNNNNNNNNNNNNNNNNNNNNNNNNNNGUAGUAUGUACGCAGACCUUACCCCUACCCUUGGGUAGAGAGGCUGUUUCCAAAUAGACCCCCGGCAUCCUUACCUCCAAGAACUUCCCACCUUAUUCUUGGGGAGACUCGAACUCACAACCUCUCUGCAAUUAAUAUUGAACUACCCCGUUACUGUAUUGUACCUGGUUAAUUUUUUAUAGAUUUAGAUUCACAAAUGAUGCAGUUGUGUUUGUUACGACAUGCAGGUAUGGAGGCUGGAAAUGACCACUGCACCCUCUCAAUGCACGGAAUCCUAAUUAACCAGAAUUGGUGUGUUAGGCUAUGAUACUAAAUAAUCAUUACACAUACUAUCCUAGGUCCAGCUGAGAUGGUAGAUGAUGUAACUGGUAGAUUGAAGCUUUUAUAGCGGCAGUCCUUGCUCUCUUUUUGACAUUGAGAGGUUAUAAAGCUUUCAAUGGGCAAGGGCAAGGAAACACCAUAGCAUAGCAGGAAUCUGGGCAUUUCGGCUGCUACCACGUUCUUGUUGCUGCUGCUGAUGAAACUUGCAGCUCCUCUUUAACAUAUUAUUGCACUGAAUGUCCUUGCUUAGUUUGACAACAGAAGAGCAAAAGAUGGCUCAUUAAUUUCUUUUAAUAAGUCAAAAAUGGGCCAUUCAUUAAUAGUUUAUUAGUGAGUUACACUGAUGACUGAUUAUUGCUGUAUCUUGAUACAUGAGGAUCUCCCUGUGUUUAUCUGCAAUAUUCUGCAAAGCUUAUUCAAUGCAUAUAAAUAUUGCAAAUUUUACAUUUUCAUGUAAAUAUCUGUCUUUGGAUGGUGUGCUUACUGGGUAUAUUUUGAGUUUUGACAUCUCAAAUUGGAGUUAACCACUUCUUUCUUCUAGUUGAUUCUCUGAGAAACUUUU
rnacentral:lncRNA from 1 species